UUUGAUCCUGGCUCAGAUUGAACGCUGGCGGCAUGCCUUACACAUGCAAGUCGAACGCGAAAGGGGGCAACCCUGAGUAGAGUGGCGAACGGGUGAGCAAUACAUCGGAACACGUCCUGUAGCGGGGGACAACCCCGAGAAAUCGGGGCUAAUACCGCAUACGAUCUACGGAUGAAAGUGGGGGACCGCAAGGCCCCACACUAUAGGAGUGGCCGAUGCCGGAUUAGCUAGUUGGCGGGGUAAAAGCCCACCAAGGCGACGAUCCGUAGCUGGUUUGAGAGAACGACCAGCCACACUGGGACUGAGGCACGGCCCAGACUCCUACGGGAGGCAGCAGUGGGGAAUUUUGGACAAUGGGCGAAAGCCUGAUCCAGCCAUGCCGCGUGAGUGAAGAAGGCCUUCGGGUUGUAAAGCUCUUUCGGCGGGGACGAAAUGGCGCGGGGUAACAUCCCGCGUUGAUGACGGUACCCGAAGAAGAAGGACCGGCUAACUACGUGCCAGCAGCCGCGGUAAUACGUAGGGUCCAAGCGUUAAUCGGAAUUACUGGGCGUAAAGCGUGCGUAGGCGGUCUCGCAAGUCCGAUGUGAAAUCCCCGGGCUUAACCUGGGAACUGCGUUGGAAACUAUGAGACUAGAGUGCGGCAGAGGGGGGUGGAAUUCCAGGUGUAGCAGUGAAAUGCGUAGAGAUCUGGAGGAACACCGAUGGCGAAAGCAGCCCCCUGGGCCAGCACUGACGCUCAUACACGAAAGCGUGGGGAGCAAACAGGAUUAGAUACCCUGGUAGUCCACGCCCUAAACUAUGGCAACUAGUUGUUGGAGGAUGAACUCCUUUAGUAACGCAGCUAACGCGUGAAGUUGCCCGCCUGGGGAGUACGGUCGCAAGAUUAAACUCAAGGAAUUGACGGGGGCCGCACAGCGUGGAUGAUGUGUUCAUUCGAUGCACGCGAAAAAACCUUACCUACCCUUKGAC
rnacentral:rRNA from 1 species